GACGUAGGGCGCGAGCGUUGUCCGGAUUUAUUGGGCGUAAAGAGCUCGUAGGCGGCUUGUCGCGUCGACUGUGAAAACCCGCGGCUCAACCGCGGGCCUGCAGCCGAUACGGGCAGGCUAGAGUUCGGUAGGGGAGACUGGAAUUCCUGGUGUAGCGGUGAAUGCGCAGAUAUCAGGAGGAACACCGAUGGCGAAGGCAGGUCUCUGGGCCGAUACUGACGCUGAGGAGCGAAGCGUG
rnacentral:rRNA from 1 species